GGGUUGCUAGCUCAACUGGCAGAGCACCGGACUCUUAAUCCGUAGGUUCCGAGUUCGAUUCUCGGGCAACCCACCA
rnacentral:tRNA from 1 species